rnacentral:rRNA from 1 species
AUGACCCGGAAGCCGGCUGCGGCUUCUGCAGGUUCCCCGCUGCGCCUCUCCGAGCCGCCUGCCCUCCGCAUAGGGCCUCCAACAAUUGGUAGGGGCUCACAGUUUGCUGCCCUUGGCAGCCACAUCAUAGCCACAUGCCCCUCCGCCAUGGAAAUACCCAUGGUACAAGAGGCCCAGGACUGUGCCACCCUUAUCUUUGACACGAAGACAGCUACGCUUACCACGUCAAAUAUUUUACCGCAAGGUCUACAAAAGUGCUAUGAUGCAGCCAUAGCCGUCAGGAACAGGCUAUAUGUGUUUGAAUCAUUUAGCGACAACAACGACGGCACCGACGGUUUAUAUUAUUUUGGGGGCUUCCACUGCCUAUCUUCGGACCCGAAUGAUGAUGAGAGGGACUGGACUUGGCGACCCUUGUUCAAUUCCUCACGUUUCUCUUGGAGUUGGCCUAAGUUCGGUGGCAGUCCACCUGACUUUCCGUUUGAUCCCAAGUUUAUGACUUCGCUUGUCGUGCACCCGCGGACGGGCACCAUCUUUGUUUCCGCUUGUAGGAGGGGGGGUCUGGUGUACAUUGUCCUACGGCACAAGAGGCGAUGGCCAGUGGAGGCGCCGUGGUAA